rnacentral:rRNA from 1 species
AAAUUGAAGAGUUUGAUCAUGGCUCAGAUUGAACGCUGGCGGCAGGCCUAACACAUGCAAGUCGAGCGGUAGCACAGAGAGCUUGCUCUCGGGUGACGAGCGGCGGACGGGUGAGUAAUGUCUGGGAAACUGCCUGAUGGAGGGGGAUAACUACUGGAAACGGUAGCUAAUACCGCAUAAUGUCGCAAGACCAAAGUGGGGGACCUUCGGGCCUCAUGCCAUCAGAUGUGCCCAGAUGGGAUUAGCUGGUAGGUGGGGUAACGGCUCACCUAGGCGACGAUCCCUAGCUGGUCUGAGAGGAUGACCAGCCACACUGGAACUGAGACACGGUCCAGACUCCUACGGGAGGCAGCAGUGGGGAAUAUUGCACAAUGGGCGCAAGCCUGAUGCAGCCAUGCCGCGUGUGUGAAGAAGGCCUUCGGGUUGUAAAGCACUUUCAGCGGGGAGGAAGGCGGUGAGGUUAAUAACCUCAUCGAUUGACGUUACCCGCAGAAGAAGCACCGGCUAACUCCGUGCCAGCAGCCGCGGUAAUACGGAGGGUGCAAGCGUUAAUCGGAAUUACUGGGCGUAAAGCGCACGCAGGCGGUCUGUCAAGUCGGAUGUGAAAUCCCCGGGCUCAACCUGGGAACUGCAUUCGAAACUGGCAGGCUAGAGUCUUGUAGAGGGGGGUAGAAUUCCAGGUGUAGCGGUGAAAUGCGUAGAGAUCUGGAGGAAUACCGGUGGCGAAGGCGGCCCCCUGGACAAAGACUGACGCUCAGGUGCGAAAGCGUGGGGAGCAAACAGGAUUAGAUACCCUGGUAGUCCACGCUGUAAACGAUGUCGAUUUGGAGGUUGUGCCCUUGAGGCGUGGCUUCCGGAGCUAACGCGUUAAAUCGACCGCCUGGGGAGUACGGCCGCAAGGUUAAAACUCAAAUGAAUUGACGGGGGCCCGCACAAGCGGUGGAGCAUGUGGUUUAAUUCGAUGCAACGCGAAGAACCUUACCUGGUCUUGACAUCCACAGAACUUUCCAGAGAUGGAUUGGUGCCUUCGGGAACUGUGAGACAGGUGCUGCAUGGCUGUCGUCAGCUCGUGUUGUGAAAUGUUGGGUUAAGUCCCGCAACGAGCGCAACCCUUAUCCUUUGUUGCCAGCGGUCCGGCCGGGAACUCAAAGGAGACUGCCAGUGAUAAACUGGAGGAAGGUGGGGAUGACGUCAAGUCAUCAUGGCCCUUACGACCAGGGCUACACACGUGCUACAAUGGCAUAUACAAAGAGAAGCGACCUCGCGAGAGCAAGCGGACCUCAUAAAGUAUGUCGUAGUCCGGAUUGGAGUCUGCAACUCGACUCCAUGAAGUCGGAAUCGCUAGUAAUCGUAGAUCAGAAUGCUACGGUGAAUACGUUCCCGGGCCUUGUACACACCGCCCGUCACACCAUGGGAGUGGGUUGCAAAAGAAGUAGGUAGCUUAACCUUCGGGAGGGCGCUUACCACUUUGUGAUUCAUGACUGGGGUGAAGUCGUAACAAGGUAACCGUAGGGGAACCUGCGGUUGGAUCACCUCCUUACCUUAAAGAA